rnacentral:rRNA from 1 species
ACUCCUACGGGAGGCAGCAGUGGGGAAUAUUGCACAAUGGGCGCAAGCCUGAUGCAGCCAUGCCGCGUGUAUGAAGAAGGCCUUCGGGUUGUAAAGUACUUUCAGCAGUGAGGAAGGUGGGUAUGUUAAUAGCAUACUCAUUUGACGUUAGCUGCAGAAGAAGCACCGGCUAACUCCGUGCCAGCAGCCGCGGUAAUACGGAGGGUGCGAGCGUUAAUCGGAAUUACUGGGCGUAAAGCGCAUGCAGGUGGUUUGUUAAGUCAGAUGUGAAAGCCCGGGGCUCAACCUCGGAAUUGCAUUUGAAACUGGCAAACUAGAGUACUGUAGAGGGGGGUAGAAUUUCAGGUGUAGCGGUGAAAUGCGUAGAGAUCUGAAGGAAUACCGGUGCGAAGGCGGCCCCCUGGACAGAUACUGACACUCAGAUGCGAAAGCUGGGGAGCAAACAGGAUUAGAUACCCUGGUAGCUCUGC